ACACGUUCGGAGUGCUACAGUCCGCAUACCUGUCUGGGGUGCUGUUUGAAUCUUACAACCUAGGGCAACUAGAAUCCGCUCCGUGAAGAAAAUAACAGGGAUUGAGG